CCAGAAAACAGACCAGGCAAGAGGAUAAACAACUCAGUAAGCUGAAAGGGAGAGUGGCAAGGAAGGACCUAAGGCAGAGGAGGACAGAAAACACCACUGGGGUUUAAAGAAGAGCAAAUCUGAGAUGUGAACCCACAAGGCUCAGUGAAUGUGGAAUCCAGCAAAUUCAUCUGAAAAAGCCACUCUCGAAGUGUAGUUGCUGCUCUUAGACUCCAGCCUUCAUUUACCUAAGGCAAGACUAAAAUCAGCUGAUUCCCCAGAGUUCAGAAGACAAACAGCAUCUUGGGAACGAGAGAAUAAACAGCUCUGGGAAUGCUGAAUAAUUGAAACAAGUUACAUCUGCACUGAUUUCUCCCUACCCCUCCUUAUUUUUCCCUUCCGAAUUCUCUGCUGUUGUAAAGAUUCUCUCCCUCCCUUCCUCCCACCCUCCCCAGAUAAAAACUGCAUAUCUGAGACAGAGAAAUAAAUCCAGGUAAUAGUAGAAUAUACAAUUCAGAGACAUCUUUAUGUUAGCAGAUGAAAAUCAUGAAAAUAAGUUCUACUAAUGUAGAUUAUUUGGAUUUCACUUGUAUUCAUCUUUGCUCACAUGAAUAACAGCUGGGGUGGCUGAAAAUCAGUAGACUAUCAUUACAUCAUAUGAGCUCCAUCCAGCAUAGCAGGCUAUGCUAUUAAGAAGUCAAGUCAGCCUCCUUUCACCACUGAAAAAGCCUUCACUGCUGUUUCAGAGAGGAUCUCCUUAUGGGAGAAGUCCUACAAAAUGUAUUAAGGAUGAAGCCUCUAGUUUAAAAACCUGUAGUAUUUAGCAAAGAACAUAUCCCUGCUAUAGAAAGCUCAGCAUUCUCUACAUUACAUUCUAGGACUUUUCCAUAAGAUAUGGCGGGGCAAGGAAACAGUGCUCUGGAAAUUCACAGGGAUUUCCUCACAUAAGAUACUGGUGGCUGAUGAUGCAAAGAGUUCUGCUUUGCAAUGUGUAUCUAGGAAUGAAAAAUGCUGGUUGAGACCUUAUGAGGGAGUCUGAGUCCUAAGGAAGGAAGACAUAGUGCUAUAAGGCUAUGGAGUACUAUGAGACAUUAAACCACCACAUGAGAUGACUGGGCAGGAGUAAAAACCCUCCACACACAUGUUCAAAGAUGCAUGGGCUCUGUCUGUCCUAUCAGGAAAUUAUGGGUCCCAGGCCACCAUACAUAGAAAGAUAACCCCUCCAAUGCUCUUUUUCCUCUCUUAAAUAAGUUAGUAAAAGCAAACAAUGAGUAGGCAUUUCCACAAUAAGCUCGCCCCUUCAAUGGGUACAUUGCAGCCUGGGCCCCUAUGGAAUCUAAUUCAAGUCAAUGGGACUCUGAAGGGUUUCACAAGUUAACAUUAGUAGAUCCCACGGCAGAACUCAGGGCAUUUUGCAGGUUGGAAGGAACCAACUUAUUUUAAAAACAUUAUUGCAUCCAGGAAAGUGAGACCACAAAAAAGGUGGUUAGGAAUGUCAUUAUCAUCAACAUGGGUGGAGACUGAGGGGAGAGUAGCUAUGUCAAGAGAAGCACAUAUUAUUCUCUUUUCUUGUAAUUCUUCACACUAUACAUUUUCUCUCUGAAAAGGGAUGAUGUGACUUUGCAUAAAGUAAUAAUACUGUAGAUAAGCAUGAAAAGAAAACUGAUUAUAGGUCAGAUUCUGAAGAAGAAGAAGAGAAGAACAGGAACAAAAGAGCAAUGACACGCUGUUACCAUGAACACCACAGAUAUUAUUUUGCUCAAUAGGUUUAAUCCCAUUAAAGUAGCUGCUUCUUCAAAUUAUGCCAGUGCACGAGCAGAAAGAAGCAUAAAACAAAAUUGAGAUUCACUAAGCAUAACAAUGAAAAGUGUUUUAAUACUUGGUUUAAGUAAGAGGAUUCUCUGUGUGGAGCUGUGCUAGGUUUGGCUGUCUUUGAUAGUAGGGAAACUCAGAAUUUUAACUAACUACUCAAACUUUCCUCUUAUCAAGGGAACAGUGUAAUUCCAUCCAUCAGAGGCUCACAAAGAGCUUUACAAACGUCAGUGAACAUCCCUUGAGAUAAGGAAGUAGUAUUGUCCCCAUUUUAGAUAAGAAAAUGGAGCAGGAAAAUGUUAAGAGAUUGGCCCAUGAUCACACAGGGUUUGUCUUCACUGCAGAGUUAACUCGGGUCAUCCGCAUCCAGACUGAACACCCUUGUUAGCCUAGCUCAAGUGUGAGCAACCACACUGCAAAGAUAUGUCUGAGUUACUGAGUCCUUAUUGGUGCUGCAUUCCCCUGUAUGUGUCACUAAGACUUCUGGGGACAAAUGCCAUGGGAUUCUUUUGUGCUGCAGUAAACUAAACUGCUCUAGGAUUCUUUGCCAGUGAAUUGUGGGAAAACCUUCUGGCCACGAGUGGGAAAUUGUGACAAGACAAUGGUAGACUACUGGUACUCGAUUGAUUUAGCCUGUGUCCUCACUGCAAGGCAGCAGGUCACCAGCCCGGCAUCUGAACUUUAGCCUACAGCCUCAGACAAAUCAGCUUGCAUGGGCUGAAAAUACCACUAAACCUGGGUAAGAUGAUUGUGCGGGGAGGGGGACAGGAGGGCAGGUAAGGGCAACACAUAAGUAAGCGCAAGUGAACCCUGCAGUGAAGAUAUACCCACAGUGAGUCUGUGGCAAGGUUGAAACUAGAACCCAGAUCUCACAAGCCGUGACUUCCCACAGAACAAACCGUCCUGAGAGAAAAAUCAGGAAGGUGUAAAGAAAGGUACUAAAUUAAAACUUUGGAGAGUCACUCCUAUACAAGGGGCAGAUUCUGCCAGCGUUAUGCACAUUGAAUAGUACCUUACUUUGCAAAUAGUUCCACUGAAAUCAAUGUGGCUUUCAUAGGGUAAAGUACUGAUCAACAUAAGGGUGAAAAUUCUCUCUUCUCUUCAAGUUGAGAUGAGACUACUGAAAGAAGCAGCCUCCCUUUAUAACCAAAAUAUACGGUAAGUAGAGAAGAUCUAACUAUUUUCUGAAAAGAGGUAGAUCAGGCAUUUUCUGGCCAUACUUAAAUAUCUGACAUUAAACAUUCAGGACUACAACAAGUUUUGAGCUAGAUAAAGCCUCUAUGCACUGCCCUGAGCAAGGAGUGGUGCAUAAGCCAUGCCAUUCCAGGAAUCCAAAAGGAAUAAAUGGGUCAAUACAGUACAAAACAAUAUGGAAAGAGACUGUGAAAACUGACUGGUGAAUGGCCAUUGUGUCUCUGGAGCUUCCUUUUUCCUCUAAAGGAUCCUUCUCUGAACUACCAUCAAGUCAGGCAAAUUGCAGGGUAUAUUCUGUUGGUGAAUGAACAGUUCUAGACAACUGAUUUAAGUGCUCAGUGCUUGUAUUUGCUAUUUAAGUCAGCCAGCAACAAGGUAGUUUCAUGCAUGAUCAAGAGGAAAAUAGCAGAGAUCACACACUUAACAUAGAGUAAAAGUGUAUGCAAAUUUAAAGUUUCCUUCUAAGUUUCCCUAAAUUCCAUGCAAUCCUUUGCGGCAGCCCAAGCAGGGACUGUACUGAUGACAGCUGCCUUUGUGAGUUUGCCAGAGAGCAGCCAGCUGCUUUCCAGAAAACCUGUUUAAAAAAAAAAAAAGUUACUACAAAUUCGUUACAAGCAUCUACUGAUGUACAAAGUAUCAUAAUUUGCAUAAAAUUGUAUUUAUUGUGCUAGCGGUUAUCAGCAUUACUAACAGUUCAACUCCAGCAGCUAGAAUUCUGGAUUUUAACCAAUCUGUCUGUUUAACAUUCUAAAGAAGUAUUUUAAGAUGUGUCUAAGCUUCUUAUCAGCCACCAUCACUUAAACCACUUUGAGAUUAUUCUGCUAUCUUUGAGAUUUAAAAUAAAUUGUAUGUGUUCUCUACUAACAUUUGUACACUACCCACUUCCAUUAUCACACUGGAAGAAUAUUUAAGCAGCAUUGUACUGUGCUUUUUAUGAACAUCAUCCCAUUAAUAUAAUUAAAAUGCAUUCUCAGCAGAAUAAUAUGGCAUUAUUUACCAGAUACAGUCAUUUCAUAGACCCCCUACUUAAAAAAUGUAUAGUCUUAUUUUUGCAAAUCAAACUCUGUGAAGUGUCCCUUUGCAGGUAGGAAGAGACAUUUAACUCAAAAUGCAGUCCUUGAUCCAGCAUCCUCCCGGAGCCCCAAUGGUUUCAGAAUGUCCUUGAAGCCACCAGAAACCAGUGCGAGCCUUAUUCAAGUCUUAUUAUGUAAAGAAGCAAGUGCAUCACAACUGAAGGGUGGUCUUCAUUUAAUUCAGCCAUCAAGAUGCUUAUGGGAUCUUAUUACUAUAACUGACCCACUGUUCAGAGGGUUACAUGGCCCUCCUUCCCUCCCUUGUCAUCUGUGACUGAUCCACAGAGGGAUAGCCACCUGCUAACAGUGCCAGAGUUAGUCUGUUAGCUCAAGUGGUAGUGUUUGUGCUGCAGGCCUGAAAGUCCAAGGUUCAAACCUUCCUGCCAGUCUCUGUUGGAGUUGCUACUUAGCCUUUGUCCUUCCUCACCACAUCCCCUCCCCUACUGCUUGUUGGCUUAAUUCAUGUCUAAAUUUUAAUUAUAAAACUCUUUGGGUCACAGACAAUGCACUUUCAGGUACUGCAGCACAAUGAACAUUAAUAAUACAAUGUGUACCCUCUCUCCUCUUACAUUCUGCCUAUCAACACUAAUGAUAUCCUGAACUGGACUUUAUAAUGCAUUGGGAUGGACUCAAAUUCUGAACUGGAUUGUUAGUCGAUUGGAAUCAUUGUUUUACAUCAUUGCCUUUAAAAGACUGGAAAUUUUAUAAACCUCCACUUAUUUUUUGUCAUGUCUAUUCAAAGACCUUUUUCUUAACUUUAAACCUGUGAGUGAAAUAAUUAAAAUUUCACACCAAAAUCUGAUUACAUAAUUCUAGAUUAAUUUUGCCUUAACUCUCCAGUUGGUAAGAGAAAGAGGUUUGUACAAUAUAUGCUGGACACUUGCCAGCAAAAAAGGUACUUUGUCAUCUCAGUGAAUGAGAAAUUACACGCAUACCACCCAUUAGUGAUGAGAAAUGUACAAGUGAGCCCCUGGCACAGAAAUGAAACUAUAACAUCAAUGUGAGUAGGAGGAAAAUACCUGUCCCUCUUAUGCAGGUUAUGCAGCUUUGAAUUCCUUUACAUAUGUGGAAAGGUAGAAUUGUAAUUAUAACUAAGUUAAAAUGUAACAUUAGAACCAAUGGAAAGGUAAAAAGGUGCAUGAAGCAGGGAAUGUUUACAUCAAGAAACAAUACCUUGUUUAGACUUCCAAACAGUUUCCUUUUAUUCCAUCCACACUACCAUUUUCUAAUAUAAGUGAAAAUGAAAUAAUGUAGUUUUAAUAUUUAAAAUGUCCUGUCACCAUUCUGAUGAGGGUACUCAAAUCUCAUCUGUGACAAUAAGAAAGAAAUUCCCCUUACUCUUUUUGCGUGGGGGAGAAGGGGUACCUUUAUGAUAAACAGUAAUGGUAUCAUAUUAACAUAUCUCUGGAGUACACUAUUUCCAUAUUUAUGCUGACAUACAGUAACUGCCUGAUAUAUGUCACUAACUACUGGAUAAAUUACUGUGGUUUAACAAAUUUUUCAAACUGAGCGCAAGACUGUUCUCUGUAACAUGACAACAUUUUUGAAGCAGAAUUGCCAAAUAUAGCUCUGCCACAAACUCCCUGUGUAUCAUAGAAUCAAUCAUAGAAUCACAGAAUAACAGAGUUGGAAGGGACCUCUGGAGGCCAUCUAGUCCAACCCCCUGCCCAGAGCAGGACCAA